rnacentral:sRNA from 1 species
AUGUACCACUCGUACACUCCGGUUCCUGCGCGCCGUCCGCGCCCACCUGACGGCUGCUCGCUACGUUUGUUAGCC